UGGCUCAGGAUGAACGCUGGCGGCGUGCUUAACACAUGCAAGUCGAGCGAUGAAGUUUCCUUCGGGAAACGGAUUAGCGGCGGACGGGUGAGUAACACGUGGGUAACCUGCCUAUCAGAGGGGGAUAACAUUCGGAAACGGAUGCUAAAACCGCAUAGGUCCUUUAACCGCAUGGUUGAAGGAGGAAAAGAGGCGCAAGCUUCUGCUGAUGGAUGGACCCGCGGUGCAUUAGCUAGUUGGUGAGGUAACGGCUCACCAAGGCCGUGAUGCAUAGCCGACCUGAGAGGGUGAUCGGCCACAUUGGGACUGAGACACGGUCCAAACUCCUACGGGAGGCAGCAGUGAGGAAUAUUGGUCAAUGGUCGGCAGACUGAACCAGCCAAGUCGCGUGAGGGAAGACGGCCCUACGGGUUGUAAACCUCUUUUGUCGGAGAGUAAAGUACGCUACGUGUAGUGUAUUGCAAGUAUCCGAAGAAAAAGCAUCGGCUAACUCCGUGCCAGCAGCCGCGGUAAUACGGAGGAUGCAAGCGUUAUCCGGAUUUAUUGGGUUUAAAGGGUGCGUAGGCGGCACGCCAAGUCAGCGGUGAAAUUUCCGGGCUCAACCCGGAGUGUGCCGUUGAAACUGGCGAGCUAGAGUACACAAGAGGCAGGCGGAAUGCGUGGUGUAGCGGUGAAAUGCAUAGAUAUCACGCAGAACCCCGAUUGCGAAGGCAGCCUGCUAGGGUGAAACAGACGCUGAGGCACGAAAGCGUGGGUAUCGAACAGGAUUAGAUACCCUGGUAGUCCACGCAGUAAACGAUGAAUACUAACUGUUUGCGAUACAAUGUAAGCGGUACAGCGAAAGCGUUAAGUAUUCCACCUGGGGAGUACGCCGGCAACGGUGAAACUCAAAGGAAUUGACGGGGGCCCGCACAAGCGGAGGAACAUGUGGUUUAAUUCGAUGAUACGCGAGGAACCUUACCCGGGCUCAAACGCAGGGGGAAUAUAUAUGAAAGUAUAUAGCUAGCAAUAGUCACCUGCGAGGUGCUGCAUGGUUGUCGUCAGCUCGUGCCGUGAGGUGUCGGCUUAAGUGCCAUAACGAGCGCAACCCCUAUCGACAGUUACUAACGGGUCAAGCCGAGGACUCUGUCGAGACUGCCGGCGCAAGCCGCGAGGAAGGUGGGGAUGACGUCAAAUCAGCACGGCCCUUACGUCCGGGGCGACACACGUGUUACAAUGGCAGGUACAGAAGGCAGCCAGUCAGCAAUGACGCGCGAAUCCCGAAAACCUGUCUCAGUUCGGAUUGGAGUCUGCAACCCGACUCCAUGAAGCUGGAUUCGCUAGUAAUCGCGCAUCAGCCAUGGCGCGGUGAAUACGUUCCCGGGCCUUGUACACACCGCCCGUCAAGCCAUGGAAGCCGGGAGUACCUGAAGCAUGCAACCGCAAGGAGCGUACGAAGGUAAUACCGGUAA
rnacentral:rRNA from 1 species